rnacentral:rRNA from 1 species
UACGGAGGAUUCAAGCGUUAUCCGGAUUUAUUGGGUGUAAAGGGAGCGUAGGCGGUAAGGCAAGUCUGAUGUGAAAGGCCGGGGCUCAACCCUGGGACUGCAUUGGAAACUGUUUAACUGGAGUGUCGGAGAGGCAAGUGGAAUUCCUAGUGUAGCGGUGAAAUGCGUAGAUAUUAGGAGGAACACCAGUGGCGAAGGCGGCUUACUGGACUGUAACUGACGUUGAGGCUCGAAAGCGUGGGGAGCAAACAGG